UACAAAACAACAAACAGGUUGAUCACACUUCUAUUCAAGAAUAUGCAAGACUCACCAUUGCUUUAUAAGUUGAACUCAAUGAUGUACAGCAACAGCUUAAAGAACAACAAAAUGCUCCUUCUAUCUUUACAAGUAUGAAAGACUUAAAACAUGUACGUUGUAAGGUCGAUAACAACCAAACAUAGCUUGAGUAGCGAGAUCAGAUGAUAUUGCAACAUUAAAAAGAUAUUGAGGCACUCACUUAUAAGCAUACAACUACAAAAGAAGAAAUAAAAGCACACAAUAGUAUAUUAUAUAAAGUCUUACUUAAGAAUACACAAGGCACUUGGAUAUAGAAGAUAAAAUGGAAAUUACAACAGUAAAGUCUUAAUAACUCUAAUAAAAUUUUAAAUAAAUUCCAAUUAAAGCUUUACAUUUUUAAUCAAAUUUUGAUCAAAUCCAAUUAAAAUCUUAAAGAAAUAAUGAAAGAAAUAUAAAGAAAACUUUAAGAAUUGACAAAAAUCUUUAAAAAAUACUAAAAAAUAAAAAAAUUCUAAGUAAAUCUUUAAUAAAUCCUAAGUAAAACCUGACCAAAUCCGAAUCAAAUCUUAAACCUUAAACCAAAUCUUAAUUGAAUUUUAAAUCCUAAAAGAAAUCCUAAUUGAACCUUGAAUCCUAAAUCAAAUCUUAAUAAAACUCUAAAUCCUUAAAAAAAUCCUAAUCAAAUUCUAAAUCCUAAACCAAAUUCUAAUGUAAUCUUAAUCCUUAAAUAAAUUCUUUAUCAAUCUUUUAGCAAAUUAAAACCUCAAUAAAUAAUAAUAUAAUUGUAGAUUUUGACUCAAAAUUUGUACACCUCUAAAUUACUAAUUUGACAACAAGUCCAAAUAAUUUGAAAAAGAACAAACUUAUCAAAUAAAAGAUAAAUCCUAAAAUCUAUUUGGAUGUUGGCUAACCUCUUAUUCUAACCUUGAUACCAAUCUCAUAGUACCAAUAUCUCUAAAUCUUACAAAGCAAUGGAUUUUAAAUUUUUUAAUAUUAAUAGAAAUUAAGUCUAUUACUAUUGUGUAAAUUUUUAUUUCAAUCUAAUUGGCAAAUUGUUGUAAAUCUUAAAAAACCUCAUUAGUUUUUUAAACUUUAAUUUCUAAGAUUCCAAUACAUUUGGAUUUCAAUAACCUUUGAAUAAGGUUUUAGAUCAAGCCUCAACUUACAAAAAUAUAUAUAUAUAUAUAUAUAUAUAUAACACAAUAAAAAUCAGUUAAUAAUAAAUUUUCAAAUUAUAAAUUUCAAAAAUGUUGCAUAAGCUCAAGCAAAAGAAUUACAUGCCGCAGAUAUGGAGUAACAUGAAGCAAAGAAGGAGGUUGAAUCCAUGAUCAAGGAUUUACAAAUCAAAUUCAAAGGAUCAACCUAUCAAAUAAGUUGACUUAUAGGCAUUGAAAAGUGUAAGCCCAUCACAUCACAAAAUGGUUAGAUCCAAUUGCCUCUUUACACAAUUGAUCUUGCAAAAAAAAAAAAAAAAAAAGAGUUUGUAUCUAAUCUACUACAAGACACCAAGUUCUAUACCAACAUACCUGAUUUCAAGCAAUCUUGCAAAGAUAUGACUACACCAUGUAUUUUAAAAACAAUCAUGGUAGAUCGACAUGACAUGUUGUAGAUUUUGGACAGUGCCUUCAAUCUUGAGUAUGACAUUCAUGAAACUCAAGAAACCUCCCAACACAAAAAGAUAAUAUUGAUAGUCUUGCAUAGGUAGCAACUAGCAGCAUGCUCAACCAAAUAUCUACUUAACAAUUUUAAUGCACAUACCACCAAUUCAAACAAUGAAACUACAAAUGUCAAGGAUGCAAAGAACAUUAUUUUGCAAAAAAAUUUCAAACAUACAAAACUCAAGGAGUGAUAUGCCAAAACCACAAAUAUUGUGGAUUACUUAAUUUGUACAAAGACAAUAGGGCGGCUAGUUUUUGAUGUCUAAAUUCAUGCAAUGCACAUACAUACCAACUAUUAGAGGAUGCAUCAGGCC
rnacentral:lncRNA from 1 species